UACGUAGGGCGCAAGCGUUAUCCGGAAUUAUUGGGCGUAAAGAGCUCGUAGGCGGUUUGUCGCGUCUGCCGUGAAAGUCCGGGGCUCAACUCCGGAUCUGCGGUGGGUACGGGCAGACUAGAGUGCGGUAGGGGAGACUGGAAUUCCUGGUGUAGCGGUGAAAUGCGCAGAUAUCAGGAGGAACACCGGUGGCGAAGGCGGGUCUCUGGGCCGAAACUGACGCUGAGGAGCGAAAGCGUGGGUAGCAAACAGG
rnacentral:rRNA from 1 species